rnacentral:lncRNA from 1 species
CAGGGCAAAGUGAGGCAACCUCUGGGGGCCCUGCGCAGCCCCCCGGUUGGGUGUGGGGGGCUAAACUUGGGCCCCCGAAGUGAGAUCCCUGGCUGUGCUGACUGUGGGGGAGUCAUGGGGGGUGCCGGCCCCCACGUUCAUGAUUGGGGAUCCGAACGGAUAGAACCCUGUGGCAUCAGCUGCAGUACCCGGCAAAGUCCUCAGGUGACUUGUGAGGCUCGUAUCCCUGCAACAGAGACUACUCCAGCUGCAGGAGUGAAUGUCGUUGUAGUGGUUGACGGAAACUGCAUCCUCCAGUAUACCCAUCGUCAGUCACCUUGCUCCUGCCUUUCGGAUGGGGAGCCUCUCUUG